GCUUUAUUGAUAACAAUUUUGACAAUGUAGGAUUUCUUGGAUAGAAAAAUAUGAAAAUAACACAGUGUACAAAGUAUUCACUAAAUAUGUAAAUCAUUUACUUAGAAGUGCAUAAUUUGCCUGGAAAAUAUAUAUCUAUCACUAUAGUAAUAUUUGAAGAAAAAUAAUAAAAAGCAUCAUGGAAUGCAAAAGGAAGAGAUCUAAAAGCCCCAAAAAAUCUUCUGUAAUACAACAUACACACCCUUGUAAGUUUAUACAAGUUAAAACCUACAGAUUUUGAUGGGGUUUGUGUUGCUCAGUCCUUAAUAAUGAUCAUUGUUGGCUACUCUCUCUUUUUUUUCAAAUUUGUAAUAGUGUUGUCCUGUCUUUCUUAAACUUGUAGGUAUCUCCUUAACAUUUGGUAUGAAAUAAGAACCAAAAGUAUCAUAUAUUUCACUGGAACUGCAAAUAAUAUUCAAAACUAAAUAUUAAGAACAGAUUGAACAAAAAAAUCAGAGCUUUCCAAUCUAGUUAUAUCUACUUCAUAUUGUGCUGUUGUUGGCAUUAAACACCCCUUUCAGCACUCAGUUAUAAUGUUCCAGGCACCUUUUAUUGGUGGGGGAUGGCAGAGUACCUGAAAAAAAACACAGACCUUCAGCAGGAAAAAAAAUACCACUGAACGUACUCUGAAUACAGAAAUUAUUGCGUGCAUUUAUUAUUGCAAUUUUGUCAUUUCAGACUUAAAUGCGAUUUUAAUUUUUACGAUUUUGAGAAAAAUCCAAUUUAAUUCAUAUAAAAUAUUUCAAAAUGCAAGUUUAAAUUAUUGCGUUUACAACUCAGUCACAUUUUUCGUAAUAAUAAAAACCUCACAAUAAUUUCUAAAUUUACAGUAUAUCCCAUUGUUGACAGGCUGGUGAUAACUUGACGAUCUACUUAGACCACAUGGCCAUGGAAAUCCUUAAUUUUUUAAGCAUUCAAAGUUGUUGUGAAAGCAAGAAAAUCAAUUUCUGUCUGUAAUGAUUGUUUUUGAUUUACAAAAUAAAUAUCUAUUGAAAUGCAGAAAUUGCAGAUUGAUAGGAAAUAUUUACUAAAUAUUCUAUUUGAUACAAUUUUACAGAUUGGUCAACUAAUUUUUGAAUGGACAGUGUAAAAAGUGUAUAUCUGAUGUUUCUUGAAUAAAUUUUUACCAAUAUAAAAACAAGUGACAUUAUUUUGGGACCAGGAUAUGUAACUGAAAAUGACUAUAAGAAUAGUCCUGAAAAUGCUUCACAAACUGACAGGAAAAUCAACUGUUUAGGCCUGGUUUUUAUAUACUUUCCUUCAAAAGUUUGCGACUUAUCCAAAUUAAUAUAAUAUUACAAUCUGAAUACACAAUAAUCAAAGGCAGUAUAAAUCAAAUAAAACAUGUACUGAACCUCAAAGAUAAAAUUUACUUUUAUUAUCUAGAGAAAAUAUGACAAAGAUAGCACUUCUCAAAGACUUUGCUUUUUAGCAAGUUUUUAAAUGGUGAGGUAUAAUUGUUAUAGACUAAGAAAAUUAAUAUGUAAAAAAAACCGCUACAAGUUAACAAUGCUUCCAAUUUUCUUGUAAUAUUAUCUAAAGAACCUAAUAGCAUUUUUCAACCAUAAAAUCCCCAAAAAUGAAAACCUGGUAAUUGUUUAAGAGUGGUUUUACAGUGGUGGAUCCAGAACUUUUCAUAAGGGGGCCCCCUGACUGACCUAAAGGGGAUCCGUUCCAGUCAUGCUUCAGUGAUUCCCUAUAUAAUCAACCAAAUUUUUCCCAUCCACCUAUGUUUUAUCCAAGUUCAUAAGAACAAUGUUUUUUUAAAAGUGCAUCACAUUUCUCAAAAAUUUCAGUAUCAUAAAAUGCAAGAUAUAUUGAUUGUUAUUUAAUUCAAGGGGAAAAAUCUCAAUUAUAAAAUGUUUGAUCAAUCUAGUCUAAAACUUAUCCACUUUUAGGAUAACUGUGUUAUUGGACAGUAAAAUUGUUUUCAUAUAUAUAUAUAUCAUGUAUACAAACAACAUUGUUUUUUUGGGACAUAAUUAAAUCCUUAAAAGCUGCACAGCCAUUUUGUUUCAAAAUCGACUCACCCCAAGCUUACGUUAACUUGAUAAAAUAUUUUAACAUUCUGUUAAAGCUGUUUCUGCACUUUAAUUUUUAAAUAUCUAUGCAUAAAUUACUAGCAUUAAACCUUUUUAAUUUCAAUAUCAGAUUAUGACAACAUAAAACCAUACACCAAUCUGGAUUUGUUGCUAGAUUGAGAAAAUAAAUUGCUUACUGUAAAUAUUUGU
rnacentral:lncRNA from 1 species